rnacentral:rRNA from 1 species
GACGAACGCUGGCGGCGUGCUUAACACAUGCAAGUCGAACGGAAAGGCCCUGCUUUUGUGGGGUGCUCGAGUGGCGAACGGGUGAGUAACACGUGAGUAUCCUGCCCUUGACUUUGGGAUAACUUCAGGAAACUGGGGCUAAUACCGGAUAGGAGCUCCUGCUGCAUGGUGGGGGUUGGAAAGUUUCGGCGGUUGGGGAUGGACUCGCGGCUUAUCAGCUUGUUGGUGGGGUAGUGGCUUACCAAGGCUUUGACGGGUAGCCGGCCUGAGAGGGUGACCGGCCACAUUGGGACUGCGAUACGGCCCAGACUCCUACGGGAGGCAGCAGUGGGGAAUAUUGCACAAUGGGCGGAAGCCUGAUGCAGCAACGCCGCGUGCGGGAUGACGGCCUUCGGGUUGUAAACCGCUUUCGCCUGUGACGAAGCGUGAGUGACGGUAAUGGGUAAAGAAGCACCGGCUAACUACGUG